rnacentral:lncRNA from 1 species
CCUGUCCUGAAGAACCAGGUUUUAGAGAGUUGGGUGCAAGCCACUGAGUGAGGCUUUUUAUCUUGCAGAUGACUGUCCACAAUCUGUAUCUUUUUGACCGGAAUGGAGUGUGUCUACACUACAGCGAAUGGCACCGCAAGAAGCAAGCAGGGAUCCCUAAGGAAGAGGUGAUCGGAGGGUCCUAGAGUAUCCCCAAACGCACAUAGUCCCUGUCCUGUUCCCCUUCUCCAAAUCCCAGGUCCUUCCUAUACCCAUCCUGUCUCCCUCCAUAACCGGGAUCUAAUUCUACCGCCUCUCCCUCCAGGAGUACAAGCUGAUGUAUGGGAUGCUCUUCUCCAUUCGUUCGUUUGUCAGCAAGAUGUCCCCGCUAGACAUGUACGGUCGUUUUAGAGGGGUGUUGAAAGGAGGGCUAACUAGCCUUGGGAAGAGGAGAUAUUGUUUUGGGAUGGAAGUGGCAUGUGGCCCCAAAGAGGGGAGGGUGUGUUUUAGAGAGGCUGAAUCUGGAACAAGAGUCUUGAAGCUGGCAGGAGCGGCUGCAGGGCUGGUCUGAAAGUAGGGAAAGAGUGAAGGCAGCAGCAAUUAAGUCGAGGGGUGGGGAUGAUGGGUGGUGUUUUU